GUAAUUAUAUUUAUUUCUAAGAUAUUUUAAAGGACGAUAAGAUCCCAAAAAAAGUCAGUAGCAUUGUUUUAAAGGACUUGAUCAUUGAGUUUUCUACCUCUCCAGAUAAUUUAUUUAAUUAACAAUUUUGUUUAGUUUGUUCUAAUAGUCUUCGGGCCUGUAUAAAAUCUCAACGUUGGUCAAUUAUAACUAUCCAUACCUGUUGUUUGUUGUUGGGUGUGUAGGGCAGCAUGGUGGAGACAUGAAACAUCACCUCGUAGUCCUUAUAGGUGGUAUAGAGGGAGUGGGUCCCUGUGGAGUCAGCUGGAGGAGAGACAGACAGUAGAGUUAGACAGACAGGUUCAUAGUCCUUAUAGGUGGUGUACAGGGAGUGGGUCCCUGUUGAGUCAGCUGGAGGAGAGACAGACAGACAGAGAGACAGACAGACAGUAGAGUUAGACAGACAGGUUCAUAGUCCUUAUAGGUGGUAUAGAGGGAGUGGGUCCCUGUGGAGUCAGCUGGAGGAGAGACAGACA
rnacentral:lncRNA from 1 species